UACGUAGGGGGCUAGCGUUGUCCGGAUUUAUUGGGCGUAAAGAGCGUGUAGGCGGCCAGGUAGGUCUGCUGUGAAAACUCGAGGCUCAACCUCGAGACGUCGGCGGAAACCAUCUGGCUAGAGUCCGGAAGAGGAGAGUGGAAUUCCUGGUGUAGCGGUGAAAUGCGCAGAUAUCAGGAAGAACACCCGUGGCGAAGGCGGCUCUCUGGUACGUGACUGACGCUGAGACGCGAAAGCGUGGGGAGCGAACAGG
rnacentral:rRNA from 1 species